GGAGUGAUUCAGGGAACCCAU
rnacentral:miRNA from 1 species